GAGUUUGAUCCUGGCUCAGGAUGAACGCUGGCGGCGUGCUUAACACAUGCAAGUCGAACGAAGCACUUUAUUUGAUUUCCUUCGGGACUGAUUAUUUUGUGACUGAGUGGCGGACGGGUGAGUAACGCGUGGGUAACCUGCCUUGUACAGGGGGAUAACAGUUGGAAACGGCUGCUAAUACCGCAUAAGCGCACGGCAUCGCAUGAUGCAGUGUGAAAAACUCCGGUGGUAUAAGAUGGACCCGCGUUGGAUUAGCUAGUUGGUGAGGUAAUGGCCCACCAAAGCGACGAUCCAUAGCCGACCUGAGAGGGUGACCGGCCACAUUGGGACUGAGACACGGCCCAAACUCCUACGGGAGGCAGCAGUGGGGAAUAUUGCACAAUGGGCGAAAGCCUGAUGCAGCGACGCCGCGUGAGCGAAGAAGUAUCCCGGUAUGUAAACUUCUAUCAGCAGGGAAGAUAGUGACGGUACCUGACUAAGAAGCCCCGGCUAACUACGUGCCAGCAGCCGCGGUAAUACGUAGGGGGCAAGCGUUAUCCGGAUUUACUGGGUGUAAAGGGAGCGUAGACGGACUGGCAAGUCUGAUGUGAAAGGCGGGGGCUCAACCCCUGGACUGCAUUGGAAACUGUUAGUCUUGAGUGCCGGAGAGGUAAGCGGAAUUCCUAGUGUAGCGGUGAAAUGCGUAGAUAUUAGGAGGAACACCAGUGGCGAAGGCGGCUUACUGGACGGUAACUGACGUUGAGGCUCGAAAGCGUGGGGAGCAAACAGGAUUAGAUACCCUGGUAGUCCACGCCGUAAACGAUG
rnacentral:rRNA from 1 species